rnacentral:misc_RNA from 1 species
GUAUCUGUAGGUGAACCUGCAGAUGGAUCAUUUCGAUGAAAACCUUUUUUCUGAGGUGUGGCUCGCACCUGUCUAACUAAACUUGAGCUACCCAAUUUCAACACGGUUGCAUCGGUUGGCUGUCAAACAGUGCCUCGGCGCUGGGAGGCGGUCGACACACAACACAAACACUUUUGAUGAUCUAGGAUUUUGAAUGAAGUUCAUUUUUAUGAUGGAACCGACUGGUAAUGCGGUCGUCUAAAUCUAAAAACAACUUUUGGCAACGGAUCUCUUGGUUCUCCCAUCGAUGAAGAACGCAGCGAAUUGCGAUAAGUAAUGUGAAUUGCAGAAGUGAAUCAUCGAAUCUUUGAACGCACCUUGCGCUCCCGGCAGAUCUAAUCUGGGGAGCAUGCCUGUUUGAGGGCCGCGAAUUGUUUCGAACGACAGCUUUUUUCUUUGUGAAAAAGUUGGCGGAUCGGUAUUGAGGGUCUUGCCAUUUACCAUGGCUCCCUCGAAAUGCAUUAGCGCAUCCAUUUGAUAGGCAAGACGGACGAAAGCUCGAUUUUCGCCCUCUCUUCCCUGCCGGGUUUUGAUAAUAUCAGGACUUCGGAGGCGGAGAAAGGGUUAGAGCUGGACGCAACGUUUUGCUGUUUGGAGUGCUUCUGAAACCCGCCCAUGCCUCUUUCUUCGGAAAAGGAAGGGAUUUUUUCAAUUCAUCGGCCUCAGAUUGGUAGGACUACCCGCUGAACUUAAGCA